AGCUUUCGCUUGCACCAAAAGGAGGCUGUACACUUGGCUCUGUCAGAGAACCCGUUCAAGUGUGAAACCGUGUGACGGGUGCGCUCAACACUCCGUGCGUAAUUUUUACCUGGGCUGGUCGGCGGGGACACUUUAGAAGAAAUGUAGCGCACUUUAACUAACUGACCCAAGGGACAGGACAGGGACCGGGAGCUGCACCGGGAUAUCCCCCCGGGAAUUCGCACUUUCAGUAUGUCAGAUGCAAGCAGUUUUACUCCAAUAUCGCAGGAAAUAUGAAGGGGGCACUUUUGAAGAGUAACAUCAUUCUUUUUAGAAGGGGUGGUUUAACACAAGAAAAACAUACUACAUGGACGUGUACUUUCCUUUUUUAAUUUUUUUUAAAAAGCCUACUGCUACUUCUUUGGAGCAUAUUUACACAAUGGAUUUAACGACUGUGCUUUGUGGACUGUGCUGUGGUUAAAACCGAAAUGUUGUAGGGUGUGCAAUAUUAUGGACUGUUUAACUUGAGUGGCUCAAUAUUUCAACAACAAUUGCGCGAUUAGUUCUGCUCUUCGUCCUAUCACUGCGCACGAGCUUUUCAGAUUGCGCUGACAUGAGACAUAUAGUGAGUGUUUGGAGUAGAUACUUCCAUUCCUCGUGAUUCGUCUUCUGGUGCCAGCGAAUGGGAAAGACCUAGAAAGUGUAUUUUAACACAAACCACAAUUAUGCAUGUUUAGAAUAAAUGUGUGACUGAAUUCUAACAAAGAACUGUGUUAGAAGUUGCUAUCCACUUUUUUUCGAUGGACAGUAACAUGUGACGAGGAAAUAACUUUAUCAAUCUUUUACAUGUCUUCAUCUAGCUUGUGCAUGAAGACAUGGCCCUUGCCUCAGAGUUUCUGCAAGCAAGUUGAAAGCUUCAGCCAGGGAGCACCUCUCUCCCUCGUCUUACAUAUGUUGGAAAUAACAAAUCAGUAUUUGUAUGAAUCUCUCCACUUGUCAAGGGGGAAUAGAGAACUGUCUUCCUUCAUCAUGGAACACCAAAGUCACCUGGCAAGAAGCGGAACGUAAUGGAUUAUUUUAAGUGCUUUGCUGUGUUACGC
rnacentral:lncRNA from 1 species